CAAUAAUAGAAGGUAUUGUCUCUGGGGAAGGGUUUUGUCCCCCCUCCACCGAGAGCCGUGUACGGUUGCCUCUUGGUUGGUGGCCAUAGGGUCGAGGCGCUCUCCUCUGUGCACCGUACAUGGCUCUCUGUGGGGGGGGGGGGAACCCUUCCUUACGGGACAAUACAUUCCAUUAUUGA
rnacentral:pre_miRNA from 1 species